UGUUCUCUCUGCGCAUGUCUAUAUACGUUUUCCCGCUUUUUUAUGUCGUGGAGGUGGGGAUCUUUUUCACUGGUUUGCAACAGUACUGCGCGUUACGUAAAUUCGGUAUAACCCUGUCCAAGGAUCCUCAUUUUUGACUUAACGUGGUCGGAGCUGCUACCAGUCAAGGUUGUGAAAUGGUGGGCACACGACGACGCGGGGACGUCGAGAUAUCCGAUUUUGCUAGCUGGCUCUUCAUGUCUAAUCUUGGUGUAAUGUGGAACAGAACUUUUUGGGGAUCCCAUAUUGUUUUGGUAAGUGCAUUUAACAAACACUUAAAAGCGAUACUGAUGGCAGCAGUAUUUCAGCGGUCAUUCAGUUUAAAACAAUGUUUUAAACCACAACUCCAUAGAUCUGCAACAGCUGCGGAUAAAUUUC
rnacentral:lncRNA from 1 species